rnacentral:lncRNA from 1 species
UAUCUUUAAUUUUCAUGUUUAUUUUUGGGCUGGGUGCAGUUGUCUUUUCUAAUUUCUCUUUUUUGCUUCUUUUUCUUUUGUUGUUUUUUUAAUUACCACACUGCCCUUAUUCAUUUUUUUUAUAUAUACUCUUAUUUCUUCAUACUCAUUUUUCCCUACUUACCCUUAUAAUAGCCACCCUCAACUUAGGAGAUUUUCCUGAGUUGAGGUGCACAGUGUCC